AUAUGACCUGGUCUUGUAAUGGGAUGGUAACCGAAACCUCCUGAAGAUUCCAUCCAACUACUAUUUCGACACGUCCACGUCAUGCAGGGUGGUAACAUGGGCCUGAACCCAACCUUUUGGGUGGGUAACGGUUCAUGGCUAAGGAGGAACGG
rnacentral:ribozyme from 1 species